ACAAAAAAGGAAAAAUAAUACGAAAGACCAGAAAUGAGAGCUUGUGGAGGGAGGAUAUGUCGGUCUGGGUUUCGUGAAGAGAAUUCGGUUUUGAAAAAUCUAGCCGUUGAUAGCUCUCUCUCUCUCUCUCUCUCUCUCUCUCUCUUUUUUCUUUCGAAAUUGAAAGCUCUCUCACUCUCCCACUAGCGAGGUCGGAUCUAUUCAGGGGAGGAAGCAGAGCGGAGAGAGAGAGAAGGCUUCGUCGAAGCUGCGGAAGUGACGAGUCCCACCGCCCUGCCUGAACUCAGCCCCUUUCACUCCGGUGUCGAAGACCACGGUCUCUUUUUCUCUCUCGUUAAUUUUUGUUUUAUGUAUUUCUCUAUUUUUCGGUGCCGCCCCCAUAAUCAGUGACAAACCGUUGGCUGUAAUCGGAGGGUAGCCGCUGGCUGUAAUUAGGAACCACCGCCCUGGCUGAACCCAUCCCUUUUCUCUCUGGUGAGGAGAGCCGCCGUCUCUUUCUUGCGAUGGUGCCGCCCCCAUAAUCAGUGACAAACCGUUGGCUGUAAUCGGAGCUGGCUGUAGUACGAACCACCGCCCUGGCUGAACCCAUCCCUUUUCUCUCUGGUGAGGAGAACCACCGUCUCUUUCUCUCUCUCAAUUUUUCUUUCUUUACCUAUUUCUCUAUUUUUCGAAUUUCUGCUUGUGCGGCCCCCUAUAUUCAGGGACAAGCCGUUAGCUGUAGUCGGAGGGGGUGAUUCCGCCAUGGAGGAGGCCAAGUCUUUGGCCAAGUUUGGGUCAAGGGUUUUUAUCAUCCAUCGCAGGGAUGCUUUGAGGGUUUCAUACAUUGACCAAUCCUAAGAUCGAGGUGGUGUGGAAUUCGGUGGUCGAAGUUUUUAAAGGUGAAGAAUUACAGGGCAGGUCUCAGGCAUGAGCCAGCAACCAAGUUCUUGGAUGUCUAGAUAGUAUUUGAUUCUGAUAGUUACGUUGUGACAUAGCCUGGAACUACACAGAAGAGUGUUACUGUCUUCUCGUCUGGUGAUGUGCAGUACAAGAAGUACCGGUUCGAAACUUGGAAACAGCCUCUCCCGAGGUAAGGCUGGGCACUUGCCUCUCCCAGACCCUGCAGUAGCGGGAGCCUUGUGCACUGGGUUGCUCUUUUUUAUUUUGUUGAACUUAGCAGGAAUGGAUGAUAUGUAAGAAUAGCCUGCAGUUUCCUGUUUUCUUGCCUUUUUUCUUACUGAUUUGGUCUAAUUUGUUUGAUGUGCCAAUUUAUUUGCA